AAGACGCUGGUCUCCCUCCGAGAUCCCCGCGGUCCCCGCUCCUCUCUUCCUCUCUUCCGGAGGCGGCGCCAGGUGCACAGCCUGCACAGGACCGAUCUUGGAAUGGUGUGAGGAGCUGCUGGAUUCUAUUGUCCCUCAGACGGUGCCCUAUAAAUAGCUUUCGACUGACCAACAAAGAGCUGCUUGGUUUGUGGAUGGCAGUUCCACAGAAAAUGGACAGCAUCCUAUUUGGAAGGCCACCACUCUGAUCGAAGAAGAUAAAAACAACAUGCUCAGUGGGCUGAAUUGCAUUGUUUUCCCAGCACUGAUGGAAUAAUUGAACAGUGGUAAAAUUCCCUAUAUUUUGGUUUCUACCAACUCAUGGGUAGUGGCCAAUGGCCUGGCCAUCUGAUCAGGCAGGAGGACAAUGGAAACUUGGUCUAUUAAAGGGAUGUCAGUAUGGUGCACAGCCCAUGUGGAGAUCCCUGUGGGAAUUUGAGGGGUGCAUUCAAAUAGGGCAUGUUGAGGCCCAUCCAAAGAACUGUUUUCAGGUUUGGAAUCAUCAAGCAGAUAUCUCUGUGUGUGCUCACUUGAGGUGGACCCUGGACCCAUGAAAUAAGAAGACAUAAAGACUGCAUGUAACUAUGUGGCGGAUUCCCUGGGGGAACAGCUUUAAUCAUAGUGGGUGAGUCAGACUGAUGCUGGUGGCCCUAGGGGGCUAAAACGGUUCCUGAUGGGAACAGACACUGACUCUGGGCUGGGCUUUGCUUACCCAGGGGUAGAUGCAAAUACUCAGAAGCUAUUCAAAAACAAGAACAGAAGAUAUUGCACCAAUUUGGAUGGCCAGUCACCAUUUCUUCAGACCAACGACCACACUUUUAUAGCCCCUAAUGACCAACCGUGGGCAGAGAGAUAUCCUCCUUGGAGUUUAUCUCUGGUAGAGAAUUGGAAUGGGCAAUCAAAACAUUGGUCACCUAAAAUGGAAGGAGAUAAAGGCCUGAAGAGCUGGCUUACACACUUUUAUGAGUGUGUUCUCAAACUCAACAUGACCAUGAGUGGGACAAAAGGAGUUUCCCCCUGGAGAGAUUCCUCUGUUUUUCUGGUGGAUCUGGGGAGAGGGGGUGAGGAAUUACGCUGGUAAGACAUUGCAGUUAUUCCUAAGGGAAGAGGAUGCUGGUAUAAUGACCCAAUAUUUUUCUUUAUUUUCCAUAUCACCUCAAUUUUUUUCCCUACCUGAUGCAGUGGUCAUAUGACCAGGGCUGCAAAUGCAAGGGCCUGAAAUGGCAAUGGUUCCUAAAUAAGAGGCUACCAGUAUAUUUUAAACCUUAUGUGAGAAUGGCCUGAUGGGUCAGGAUGUGCCUUCACCCCACCUUCCGAAAUUGGUGUUAACACUGAAGGCAUCUGUAUGCCUGGUGGUAAAGACAGCCCACUAGGUCUGCACCUGUGUAACCUCGCCCUAUGUGAGUGGGAGUGCACUGAGGGGGAGGCACUUGCUAGACUACUAUUGUUGCCUGCACGCUACCCCAGCACAACAGCCGACCCCAAUGUCCGUUCCGAAGGUGUAAGAGCUUGGCUUUUAAUGGAGAGAAGGAGG